UACGUAGGGUGCGAGCGUUGUCCGGAAUUAUUGGGCGUAAAGGGCUCGUAGGCGGUUUGUCGCGUCGGGAGUGAAAACCUUGGGCUUAACUCAGGGCCUGCUUUCGAUACGGGCAGACUAGAGGUAUGCAGGGGAGAACGGAAUUCCUGGUGUAGCGGUGAAAUGCGCAGAUAUCAGGAGGAACACCGGUGGCGAAGGCGGUUCUCUGGGCAUGAUCUGACGCUGAGGAGCGAAAGUGUGGGGAGCGAACAGG
rnacentral:rRNA from 1 species